ACCAAAUAAACAAAAUAGCCCUAACGACGUGAGUUCCAUUCCGUCCCCUUCCCUCUCGUCUCGGGCUCCGCCGCCUCCGAUUCGCGUCAAUCUCCUCGCAUCGCAGCCGCCGCCGCCGCUCUCCCAUUCUCUGCUAGGCUCUCGGUGGUCCUUAUCCCUUCACAGAUGGCGCAGCCCAGCGGGGCAGGCGGAGGCGGGGGAGGCCAGCGCGGCCGAAGCCGGGGCAGCGUAGGCCAGCGCGGCGGAGGCCGGGGUCCGCCCAGCGGAGGAGGCCUGCCCAGCGCCGGAGGAGGCCUGCCCAGCGCCGGAGGAGGCCUUCCGAGCGCCGGAGGUGGCCUUCCGAGCGGAGGAGGCCUGCCCGGCGGCGGCGGCGGCGGCGGUGGCGGUGGCGGCGGAGGUGCCGUCCUUCCGCUUCGUGUUAAGAAAAUGUUCUUUGAUAAAGAGGUAUCGGACAUCAGGCAGUUGAUGGUGAGCUAUGUGUUGCAGACGCCUCCACCUGUUCGUUUGGUAAGUGUGUCAGGGGAUGCUAGAGCUUAUCCCAAGCGGUCUCCUCGUGCAAGGUGGACUACGGAUUGUUUGGUGAAAUGGUUCUGCGAGUUGCAUCUUUUAGGAUAUUGCCUAGAUGGUGGUUUCAAUAGAGACUGUUUUGGAAUUGAUUACAUGGGCAACCUCAAAGGCAUGCAUGUACUGCUACAAUUGGUCAAACCGAUCGGUGCUACUGUGAAUGAGGUUACAAGAAAUAUGUCAGUGGUGGCGGCCAUCAUCAAGGAUGGCAUACAUUCAUCGCUUCAGCUACCAGAAGAUUUGGCCCUCCUUUUAGAUACUCUGAGGCAGUAUAACAUUGGAGACUCUUUGCUCGUGCAAACCCACUUCUGUCAUGAAGAGGAAGAUAACAAAGCGGCCUUGUUUGAUCGGAUGCAUAAGCGUCUCAAGGUUAUCGAGAAGACAGAUGCAGCAAAAUAUACAAGGAUUAUGCAAGCUAUACAACCUCCCGGUGCAAGUCUUUGGUUGGCAAGUGCAAUGGACAACACCCAUCCAUUGUUGUGUUCUCCGGUACGCUCCAUGGAACCGCCCUGCAACCAUCAACAUGGUUAACGUGGUACAGGCGUUCCUGACAACAAGAGUUCAAUAUGCUGAUAACAUAGAUGAUUUCUUCACCUGCCGGCGAAAUGGCCAAGCUCAUUUGGAGGCGGACUACUCUGUGGAUACCAUAGGACACAUCGAAGCUGCAAUAUUUGGGGCAGCAGCUGGGCUCAAGGAAUGGCACCAUUUGCAACACAGUGCAGCUGUAGCAAGAGCAGCAGCUCGGCCUGUAACAGCAGCAGUUCAGCCUGUACUGCCACUUGCUGCUCGAUUUCUGAAUCCAAUGCCACCAGCAAUAGCUUUGGUGAUUGCAGACACCUUACAUCAAUUUCUUCUGUUAAGGGUUCCAUUGUCUCCCAGUGAAGCAAAAGCAGGAGCAGUAGCAGCGGCUGAGUACCUUGUUAGGCAGCCCAACAUAAGACAAAGGAUCGCACAGGCUGGGUUGAUCCAAAAUGCAUUAGCAAGAGCGACAACAGCAGCCCAAGCUGUUCCUGUGGGUGGAGUCGCUCAAGCUAACAUUCCACUACAGAUGUUCGCUGCGGACAACGACAUUGAACACAUUUAUCAUGUUGUUGCGCCGAAACUCAUGGUACAGUUUCAGAUGGCAAUGUUUAGAGAACACGAGCCCUUCCGCCUAGGCAAGGACACCAGAAUCUAUCGCUUAGAUUGAUAAAAGGAGGCCCAUCAAGACACCGAAGACUGGUGAUGAAAGGAGAUGAACCUGUUGAUGAUGUUAAAGUGGCAUUUUUUGGUUGAUUGCAUGUUGCUAUUUGUGAGUGUUGCUUGGAUGUGAGACAUUGGUUCAGCAACAUAAUGAGAAAGAUUUGAUAGUGUUCUCCUCAUAAUGCGGGAUCCAACUGUUUCCUGUUUCAGGCACUAUUUUUUUUUGUGUUCCUUUCUGUGAUCAAUUGGUGGAGUAUUAUGCAAUGCCUUGCUGAUCUGUUCUUUCAGGAUGGUUGUUGGUCAGAUGCUUUAUUCCUCCAGCGAGAAAGUUGAUGAUUGCUGUUUUUAGAUCCCUGCCCCUCGGAGCUUCAGUUUGAUUGCUGUAGACAGCAAGAGAAGGCAUUCUUUGGCUCACCGCAAGAGUUCAUUGUCAACACUGAUAAUGGCUACAUCCUCUUGUAUGCUGAAAAAAAAGUUAAUGUGCUGAUGAUACCAUGUGAUUAGUUAUAUACUCCUACUUUUGCUUUCCUUCGAACACUUCCUUCGCCUGAUGAUAUAGAAUAUGCAGUGAGAAGUUAAAACUGGAAUAAGCUUCAGAUGUUAUGGUGCAAUCAAGGCUUGGUAAUAAUAAAACAAGUUUCCUGACGGGGCCCCUUUCAAAAAAGUUUCCUGAAGGGACUAUAGGAAGGUGCAGAGGCCCGCUAGUUUGUACUUUCUAUUUCUUUUAUUAUUUGGUUCUAUAUAUGCAUACGGUUUGUAUCAAAUUUUCCAGAAUAAUUGAUUGUUAAAAACCUCUGUCGUCAUAUGUAAAGAGAAUAUUAUAUCGGAAGCCUUUUGGCUUCAGGUAACAAUUUUAUUUCCAAGAAGAUAAAAAGCUUCUACCAA